GGCCGUCUGAGUAUGAGCGACUAGCGAUUCGGCCAAACCCUGGCACCGGCAUGGCAGCAGCUCUUCGUCCUUCGGUUCGACUCGGUCCCAACUGCUGGCCUGCUUCUUGUGCCGACUACACUGACUCGGACUUUACUCCAGUUUGCACUAAUUCGCGAUUGCAGGUAGAUACUCCAUUUACCAAAAAAAUGUAGUAUAGAUUUACAUAAAACUACUCUUUACACUAACAGAUAGAGAGGAUAUAAUGUGUUUUUAUCAAAUGGAUAUCACACGGAUGUAAAAUGCGAGGUCCAAAAGAAACCUGGCCAUUUAGCAGCGAAAGCAGCAGUAGCCACUCCCAUUAAUUCUCCUUGCAUUAAUUCGUAUAGUAAAAGCAGAUGCCAUUAUACUGUGUCCACCAGAGCAAACGUGCUUUCGCUUUGGCAAUCCUUUCUUAGUACUUAACUAAACUUUAUUUGUGAUUUCGCUUUGGCAAUCCUUUCUUAGUACUUAACUAAACUUUAUUUGUUUAUAGAAGCACCAUCAGCUAAACUUGAUUUGUUUGCUAGGGCACCAUCAUAGCUCUAUUUUCAUUGCCAUUAGUAUGUACAAAACAAGAUUUGAUAUGAUAAUUCUACAUCUUGCAGGCCCUCUCGCUAGACCGUUUUGUUGCUUAGAAUCAUCGAGAAUCUGUUAUUACAUCCUACUUUUUUUCUAUCAAGAUUAGGUUCGUCCACCCUACAAAUAAAAAAAUACUUUUGCUUGACACAUUUAACUAUUGUAUAUAACAACGUAUAAAUUUGUUAUCCUUUCUUCUAAAAAAAUUCUUUAGCGUACAUAUGGCAACUUAUAAUUUGGCCCAAAUAGAACAGGUCGCUGAAACACUUGGAUCAAAACAGAGCUUGAGAUGAAGCACUACACCCUGAAGGAUCAGGGUGUUUAUGCUCUUCCAUCUACUGCAAAAUCCAAUUGGAAGGAUAUCUACUGCAUCUACUUCCAAAACAGGUACGAGUUUUUAUUUCAGACAAUACACUCACUUCUAUGUUUUUUCGAUGUGUUACUCAACUAAAUAUACCAAAAAUAAAUGGUGAUAUUGCCAUAUAUUUAUGUAUGUUGUUGUAUUAAAUUGUGGAAGCAUAGAUGAUUAGCAUCGCCAAUGCCCACAUGUUUACAUAUUUAUAUGCCUUAUAAAUAUGCAUAUGCAUAUAUAGUACGCACACGUAUGUGCUCAUGUUCGUUGAACACAAAUACCUUUUCUAUGUCCUCCUUACUCCAGUGUAAAUCAUCAGAUCAGGUAAUACUUCAGAGAAAAAUGAAAUCGAAAUUAGCGUUUCAGUAGAACACCAUUCUUCAUUUUUUUAAAUCACACAACACAAUAAUAUAUCAUAAACUACAAUCCUUUCCGUUUAGUUAAUCUACCACAAUACUUUCAUGUAAUUAAACUAGAGUACUAUGAUCGUUCACACAAACACUUACUCUAUAUAUACACAGUACUUAUAGGGAAAAAAGGGCACAGUCUACUGCUCCAAAAUCACUCCAUUCUACGCACUAUCAUUUACUCCAUAUGCACAAUUCAUAUGUAAUAGAUAAUAUUGGUAAGAAGAGAUUGAAAAAAAUUACACCAACAUGUUGUUCUGUAGCAGAUUAUUACAUAAAUUAUUCUUAUCAUGAAUGAUAUCAUUCUUUGAUAUUAAAUCUAAACUAUCUUCUCUUCGUAUUCAAACACUGUAUUAACUCAUUUAUAAAUAAUUUUUACAUAUACAGCAUGAUGCAAUACUUGACGACAAAGGAAAAGGUCCAACCGUUACAAUUGAAUCUCCACCCAAAAGGUUAUACUCUACUACACAAUAUCCUAUAUGUAUUAUUUUCUAUCUAUUAUAAAAAGCAUCGUUCCAUUUUUUAUUUGAUAAUUGUUGCGACUUUAAAAGUGAAUUAUCCAAAACUAUAUUUCUUUCGCAUAUAUUUUUUCCUAUAUUUAACUUAUACAAAAUUUAACACCACAUAUACAUGCAAAUAGAAAACAGAAAUUAUUUGUGAUAACCAUUUAUGCCGAACACUUCCAUCAUUUUCUCUUCUGCUUCCAUAAACUAAGACAUUUGUUUCCCAAUUAUACAGGUUCAAAAUGGACCUCUACGUAUUAAAGAAAGGUCGGACACAAGAUCUUCCAACAACUGAAGAUUUUCUCAGAUUAUCAGCAGCUUUUAGGUUGUAGAAUGUCCUUUAUAUAAUUAUAUAUAACUGCUCAACUUUUAUGAAGACAUUUCAUGUAAAUAUAACAAGGUAGCUUGAAAUGUUGCAACAAACAUACUACCUUCUGC
rnacentral:lncRNA from 7 species